rnacentral:rRNA from 1 species
AUGAGGCAGCCAUCUGGAUUUGUUGAUCACACUCAGCCUUAUCACCUCUGUCAUCUGACGAAGGCUCUCUAUGGAAUGAAACAGGCGCCUCGUUCAUGGCAUGCUCUCCUGGCUUCAACUUUACACACUCAUGGAUUCAUUCCUUCGACGGCUGAUACUUCACUGUUCUUGUUUCAGCGACCGAGUGUGACCAUGUACCUCCUUGUGUAUGUGGAUGAUAUUGUCCCUGUUAGCUCCUCUCCGAUGGCUGCUGAUGCUCUUGUGACUAUGCUUGGUCAUGAUUUUGCAGUUAAAGAUUUGGGACAGCUUCAUUCUUCCUGGGUAUUGAAGUCGCUCAUAAUUUAA